GCGAGCGUAGCUCAGCGGUAGAGCACAACCUUGCCAAGGUUGGGGUCGAGGGUUCAAAUCCCUUCGCUCGCU
rnacentral:tRNA from 1 species